GACGGAGGGUGCAAGCGUUGUUCGGAAUUACUGGGCGUAAAGGGCGCGUAGGCGGUCUGUUAAGUUCGGUGUGAAAGCCCCCGGCUCACCUGGGGAACUGCGCCGGAAACCGACAGACUCGAGUACCGGAGAGGAGGGUGGAAUUCCUGGUGUAGCGGUGAAAUGCGUAGAUAUCAGGAGGAACACCGGUGGCGAAGGCGGCCCUCUGGACGGAUACUGACGCUUGGAGGCGCGAAAGCGUGGGGAUCAAACAGG
rnacentral:rRNA from 1 species